AUUGAACGCUGGCGGAAUGCUUUACACAUGCAAGUCGAACGGCAGCACGGACUUCGGUCUGGUGGCGAGUGGCGAACGGGUGAGUAAUACAUCGGAACGUGCCCAGUCGUGGGGGAUAACGUAGCGAAAGCUACGCUAAUACCGCAUACGAUCUAAGGAUGAAAGCGGGGGAUCGCAAGACCUCGCGCGAUUGGAGCGGCCGAUGGCAGAUGAGGUAGCUGGUAAGGUGAAGGACCACCAAGCCGACGAUCUGGAGCUGGUCUGAGAGGAUGAUCAGGUACACUGCGACCGAGACACGGCCCAGACUCCUACGGGAGGCAGCAGUGGUGAAUUUUGGACAAUGCGCGCAAGCCUGAUCCAGCCAUUCCGCGUGCAGGAUGAAGGCCUUCUGGUUGUAAACUGCUUUUGUACAGAAUGAAAAGGCUCUGGUUAAUACCCGGGGCUCAUGACGGUACUGUAAGAAUAAGCACCGGCUAACUACGUGCCAGCCGCCGCGGUAA
rnacentral:rRNA from 1 species